AGAUUUAUAAGUUAAUUAAACUAAUAACCUUCAAAGUUAAAAAUAAAUUCUUUUUUAAAUCUG
rnacentral:tRNA from 1 species